rnacentral:rRNA from 1 species
UACGAAGGGGGCGAGCGUUGUUCGGAAUUACUGGGCGUAAAGGGCGCGUAGGCGGCGACUCAAGUUAGAUGUGAAAGUCCUGGGCUUAACCUGGGGACUGCAUUUGAUACUGGGUUGCUUGAAUUCGGGAGAGGAUAGCGGAAUUCCCGGUGUAGAGGUGAAAUUCGUAGAUAUCGGGAGGAACACCGGUGGCGAAGGCGGCGACCUGGGUAGAUACUGACGCUGAGGCGCGAAAGCGUGGGGAGCAAACAGG